UACGAAGGGGGCUAGCGUUGCUCGGAAUCACUGGGCGUAAAGCGCACGUAGGCGGAUUCUUAAGUCGGUGGUGAAAUCCUGGAGCUCAACUCCAGAACUGCCUUCGAUACUGGGAGUCUUCGAGUUCGGGAGAGGUGAGUGGAACUGCGAGUGUAGAGGUGAAAUUCGUAGAUAUUCGCAAGAACACCAGUGGCGAAGGCGGCUCACUGGCCCGAUACUGACGCUGAGGUGCGAAAGCGUGGGGAGCAAACAGG
rnacentral:rRNA from 1 species